CCUACGGGUGACAGCAGUGAGGAAUAUUGGUCAAUGGCCGGAAGGCUGAACCAGCCAAGCCGCGUGAAGGACGAAGGUGCCAAGCAUUGUAAACUUCUUUUGUCAAGGGACAAAAUCAGGCUCGAGAGCCUGACCGAGGGUACUUGAAGAAAAAGCAUCGGCUAACUCCGUGCCAGCAGCCGCGGUAAUACGGAGGAUGCGAGCGUUAUCCGGAUUUAUUGGGUUUAAAGGGUGCGUAGGCGGACUGUUAAGUCAGCGGUAAAAGCCCGGGGCUCAACCCCGGCGAGCCGUUGAAACUGGGGGCCUUGAGUGGGCGAGAAGAAGGCGGAAUGCGUGGUGUAGCGGUGAAAUGCAUAGAUAUCACGCAGAACCCCGAUUGCGAAGGCAGCCUUCCGGCGCCCCACUGACAUUGAUGCUCGAAAGUGUGGGUAUCAAACAGGAUUAGAUACCCCAGUAGUC
rnacentral:rRNA from 1 species